AGAGUUUGAUCCUGGCUCAGAUUGAACGCUGGCGGCAUGCCUUACACAUGCAAGUCGAACGGCAGCACGGGGGUAACCCUGGUGGCGAGUGGCGAACGGGUGAGUAAUACAUCGGAACGUGUCCUGUAGUGGGGGAUAGCCCGGCGAAAGCCGGAUUAAUACCGCAUACGAUCUACGGAAGAAAGCGGGGGAUCGCAAGACCCCCGCGCUAUAGGGGCGGCCGAUGGCAGAUUAGCUAGUUGGUGGGGUAAAGGCCUACCAAGGCGACGAUCUGUAGCUGGUCUGAGAGGACGACCAGCCACACUGGGACUGAGACACGGCCCAGACUCCUACGGGAGGCAGCAGUGGGGAAUUUUGGACAAUGGGGGAAACCCUGAUCCAGCAAUGCCGCGUGUGUGAAGAAGGCCUUCGGGUUGUAAAGCACUUUUGUCCGGAAAGAAAA
rnacentral:rRNA from 1 species